UACGUAGGGUGCGAGCGUUAAUCGGAAUUACUGGGCGUAAAGCGUGCGCAGGCGGUCUGUUAAGACCGAUGUGAAAUCCCCGGGCUUAACCUGGGAACUGCAUUGGUGACUGGCAGGCUUUGAGUGUGGCAGAGGGAGGUAGAAUUCCACGUGUAGCAGUGAAAUGCGUAGAGAUGUGGAGGAAUACCGAGUGCGAAGGCAGCCUCCUGGGCCAACACUGACGCUCAUGCACGAAAGCGUGGGGAGCAAACAGG
rnacentral:rRNA from 1 species